GGCGAUAUAGCUCAGUUGGUUAGAGCACGGGAUUCAUAACCCCGGGGUCGGCAGUUCAAAUCUACCUAUCGCCA
rnacentral:tRNA from 1 species